AAGUCGUAACAAGGUUUCCGUAGGUGAACCUGCGGAAGGAUCAUUACAAGUAAAUGCGUAUUCCUGGUGAAUAUACAUGUACAUACCCAUCCUGAGUACAUUACCUGUUGCUUCCGUGGAGCAGUGACUUGUCACCUCUGACUGUGGCUUUGGCCAUCUGAGGGGAGUCUCCACGGGAGGUAUACAUCAAACUCUUGAACUACCAUGUCUUCUGUCUGAAUCUGUUUGUAACAAAAAUGUUAAAACUUUCAACAACGGAUCUCUUGGUUCUC
rnacentral:misc_RNA from 1 species